GUAGACGCUGCGGCCCGGCCCGGCGGGUAAAUAACAGAUGCGGGUGAAAGAUCCAACUAAAGCUUUACCUGAGAAAGCCAAAAGAAGUAAAAGGCCUACUGUACCUCAUGAUGAAGACUCUUCAGAUGAUAUUGCUGUAGGUUUAACUUGCCAACAUGUAAGUCAUGCUAUCAGCGUGAAUCAUGUAAAGAGAGCAAUAGCUGAGAAUCUGUGGUCAGUUUGCUCAGAAUGUUUAAAAGAAAGAAGAUUCUAUGAUGGGCAGCUAGUACUUACUUCUGAUAUUUGGUUGUGCCUCAAGUGUGGCUUCCAGGGAUGUGGUAAAAACUCAGAAAGCCAACAUUCAUUGAAGCACUUUAAGAGUUCCAGAACAGAGCCCCAUUGUAUUAUAAUUAAUCUGAGCACAUGGAUUAUAUGGUGUUAUGAAUGUGAUGAAAAAUUAUCAACGCAUUGUAAUAAGAAGGUUUUGGCUCAGAUAGUUGAUUUUCUCCAGAAACAUGCUUCUAAAACACAAACAAGGCCAGGCCCCAUCCUGAUUCAUCUCUUCAGCAUAAACUGUCUAGGGGCCCACAGUGAGUCAGUUUGUUGAUAUAAACUGUCAAAUGUGGCCUGAGGGACCCAUCAUGAAUAACAGACACUCUUGUCGCUCUGGAAAUUCCGAGGAUUUAGAGGGUACUUCCCAGGAACCUGGGGAGAAAAGCCAGCCAGAUCCUUUAUUAUAUAACAGUAAUGUAUUAUGUAUUUUGUUAUUGUAUACUUUGUUACCUAACAAAUAAAUAAUACAU
rnacentral:lncRNA from 1 species